rnacentral:rRNA from 1 species
CCUACGGGGCGCAGCAGUGAGGAAUAUUGGUCAAUGGGCGUAAGCCUGAACCAGCCAAGUCGCGUGAGGGAUGAAGGUUCUAUGGAUCGUAAACCUCUUUUAUAAGGGAAUAAAGUGUGGGACGUGUCCUGUUUUGUAUGUACCUUAUGAAUAAGGAUCGGCUAACUCCGUGCCUGCAGCCGCGGUAAUACGGAAGCUCCGAGCGUUAUCCGGAUUUAUUGGGUUUAAAGGGUGCGUAGGCGGCCGUUUAAGUCAGCGGGGAAAGUCUGUGGCCCAACCAGCGUAGUGCCGUUGAAACUGGGAGGCUUGAGUAUGUUAGAGGCAGGCGGAAUGCGUGGUGUAGCGGUGAAAUGAUUAGAUAUCACGCAGAACCCCGAUUGCGAAGGCAGCCUGCCAGGCCAUGACUGACGCUGAUGCACGAAAGCGUGGGGAUCAAACAGGAUUAGAUACCCGUGUAGUC